rnacentral:piRNA from 1 species
UAAAGAAUGGCCUGGCUGGCG